GGGAAGGUGGCUUAGUGGUAGAGUGCUUGCCUGAAAUGCAUGAAGCCCUGGGUUUGGUUCCUCAGUCCCA
rfam:Dipodomys ordii ctg_broad_rename0004998, whole genome shotgun sequence.